rnacentral:rRNA from 1 species
GCACAAGCGGUGGAUGAUGUGGAUUAAUUCGAUGCAACGACGAAAACCUUACCUACCCUUGACAUGUCCGGAAUCCUGCAGAGAUGCGGGAGUGACCCGAAAGGGAAUCGGAACACAGGUGCUGCAUGGCUGUCGUCAGCUUGUGUCGUGAGAUGUUGGGUUAAGUCCCGCAACGAGCGCAACCCUUAUCAUUAGUUGCUACGCAAGGGCACUCUAAUGAGACUGCCGGUGACAAACCGGAGGAAGGUGGGGAUGACGUCAAGUCCUCAUGGCCCUUAUAGGUGGGGCUACACACGUCAUACAAUGGCUGGUACAAAGGGUUGCCAACCCGCGAGGGGGAGGCCAAUCCCAUAAAGCCAGUCGUAGUCCGGAUCGUAGUCUGCAACUCGACUACGUGAAGUCGGAAUCGCUAGUAAUCGUGGAUCAGAAUGUCACGGUGAAUACGUUCCCGGGUCUU